UGCCUUACACAUGCAAGUCGAACGGUAACAGCACUUCGGUGGCUGACGAGUGGCGAACGGGUGAGUAAUACAUCGGAACGUGCCCAGUAGUGGGGGAUAGCCCGGCGAAAGCCGGAUUAAUACCGCAUGAGACCUGAGGGUGAAAGCGGGGGAUCGCAAGACCUCGCGCUAUUGGAGCGGCCGAUAUCAGAUUAGGUAGUUGGUGGGAUAAAAGCUUACCAAGCCGACGAUCUGCCGCUGGUCUGAGAGGACGACCAGCCACACUGGGACUGAGACACGGCCCAGACUCCUACGGGAGGCAGCAGUGGGGAAUUUUGGACAAUGGGCGAAAGCCUGAUCCAGCCAUGCCGCGUGCAGGAUGAAGGCCUUCGGGUUGUAAACUGC
rnacentral:rRNA from 1 species